GGGGUGGUAGGGUGACAGCAUGAAAGGGGGUGACAGGUGGGGUGGCAGGGUGACGGGGUGAGAGGGGGUGACAGGUGGGGUGGAAGGGUGAGAUGGGGGUGACACGUGGGGUGGCAGGGUGAGAUGGGGUGACAGGUGGGGUGGUAGUGUGAGAGAGGGGUGACAGGGUGAAGUGGCAGGGUGAGGGGGGGUGACAAGGUGAAGUGGCAGGGUGAGGGAGGUGA